rnacentral:rRNA from 1 species
ACGAACGCUGGCGGCGUGCUUAACACAUGCAAGUCGAACGGAAAGGCCCUGCUUUUGUGGGGUGCUCGAGUGGCGAACGGGUGAGUAACACGUGAGUAACCUGCCCUUGACUUUGGGAUAACUUCAGGAAACUGGGGCUAAUACCGGAUAGGAGCUCCUGCUGCAUGGUGGGGGUUGGAAAGUUUCGGCGGUUGGGGACGGACUCGCGGCUUAUCAGCUUGUUGGUGGGGUAGUGGCUUACCAAGGCUUUGACGGGUAGCCGGCCUGAGAGGGUGACCGGCCACAUUGGGACUGAGAUACGGCCCAGACUCCUACGGGAGGAAGCAGUGGGGAAUAUUGCACAAUGGGCGGAAGCCUGAUGCAGCAACGCCGCGUGCGGGAUGACGGCCUUCGGGUUGUAAACCGCUUUCGCCUGUGACGAAGCGUGAGUGACGGUAAUGGGUAAAGAAGCACCGGCUAACUACGUG